rnacentral:rRNA from 1 species
AAUACGAAGGGACCUAGCGUAGUUCGGAAUUACUGGGCUUAAAGAGUUCGUAGGUGGUUAAAAAAGUUGGUGGUGAAAUCCCAGAGCUUAACUCUGGAACUGCCAUCAAAACUUUUUAGCUAGAGUAUGAUAGAGGAAAGCAGAAUUUCUAGUGUAGAGGUGAAAUUCGUAGAUAUUAGAAAGAAUACCAAUUGCGAAGGCAGCUUUCUGGAUCAUUACUGACACUGAGGAACGAAAGCAUGGSCVSCGAAGAGGAUUAGAUACCCUCGUAGUCCAUGCCGUAAACGAUGUGUGUUAGACGUUGGAAAUUUAUUUUCAGUGUCGCAGCGAAAGCGAUAAACACACCGCCUGGGGAGUACGACCGCAAGGUUAAAACUCAAAUGAAUUGACGGGGACCCGCACAAGUAGUGGAGCAUGUGGUUUAAUUCGAAGAUACGCGCAGAACCUUACCAACACUUGACAUGUUCGUUGCGACUUUAAGAGAUUAAAGUUUUCGGUUCGGCCGGACGAAACACAGGUGCUGCAUGGCUGUCGUCAGCUCGUGUCGUGAGAUGUUGGGUUAAGUCCCGCAACGAGCGCAACCCUCACUUUUAGUUGCCAUCAUUAAGUUGGGCACUCUGAAAGAACUGCCAGUGAUAAGCUGGAGGAAGGUGGGGAUGACGUCAAGUCCUCAUGGCCCUUACGUGUUGGGCUACACACGUGCUACAAUGGUAUCUACAACAGGAAGCAAGACUGCGAAGUUAAGCAAAUCCUUAAAAGAUACCUCAGUUCGGAUUGCACUMUGCAACUMGAGUGCAUGAAGCUGGAAUUACUAGUAAUCGUGGAUCAGCGUGCCACGGUGAAUGCGUUCCCGGGUCUUGUACACACCGCCCGUCACACCAUGGGAGUUGGUUCUACCUUAAGGCAAGGUUUCAAACCCUUGACCACGGUAUAGUCAGC